rnacentral:rRNA from 1 species
AACGUAGGGGGCCAGCGUUGCUCGGAAUGACUGGGCGUAAAGGGUCCGUAGGCGGUGUGGCAAGUCGGAAGUGAAAUCCCGGGGCUUAACUCCGGGGCGGCUUCCGAAACUGCUACGCUAGAGUGCGGGAGAGGGGAGUGGAAUUGCCGGUGUAGCGGUGAAAUGCGUAGAUAUCGGCAGGAACACCGGAGGCGAAGGCGGCUCCCUGGACCGCAACUGACGCUGAGGGACGAAAGCUGGGGGAGCAAACAGG